AAGAUUUUAAGGAGACACUACAUCUGGCUUCUUUAUCUGCAAGAUUCUAGGUGGGCAUGGACGCACCAGAACUUUUUUCUUCACCGUGCCUGGACCUUUUUCAGGCUUUCGUGGACACACCGGAUCCAUCCUCUUCCCCUCGCCGUCCGAAAGAUGAUUCCUCCAUGGAGAUCGUGUCCAGUCCACCACGGUUGCCUCCCUAUUUGCCAUUUGACCAUUAAUUAGAAAAUCAGUACCUGGAUCUUGGAGUAUUGUUGUGUAGACUCUUGAAGUAAAAACAACAACAAACCAAAGAUAGACGCGGUUGGGGCGGCAAUCUUCUUCCUCCGCUGAUCUAGCCCACACGCUUCUCCUUCGCCUGUGUCCCGUUCUGGAACCAGAACCCGUAGUACUGGAGGUUGUAGUGUUCCGC
rnacentral:lncRNA from 1 species